rnacentral:tRNA from 1 species
GCCGGGUUGGCCGAGCGGCGCAGGCAGCGGGCUGCAGACCCGUGGACGGGGGUUCGAAUCCCCCACCCGGCU